rnacentral:rRNA from 1 species
UACGUAGGUGGCAAGCGUUGUCCGGAUUUACUGGGCGUAAAGAGCGCGCAGGCGGUCGUUCAAGUCGCGUGUGAAAGCCCCCGGCUCAACUGGGGAGGGUCACGCGAUACUGAUCGACUCGAAGGCAGGAGAGGGUAGUGGAAUUCCCGGUGUAGUGGUGAAAUGCGUAGAUAUCGGGAGGAACAUCUGUGGCGAAGGCGGCCAUCUGGACCAGCACUGACACUGAGGCACGAAAGCGUGGGGAGCAAACAGG